CUUCGGCGUUGCAUGCUGCAUGCUGUACACCAGCGCAACUCACAGCGAUAGUGGGCAGAGGUAUCCUAAAUUUCAACCCUGAAAACAGCCCAUUUUUCUCUAUGUUGGGAGCAGUUUUCACAAUUAACGAAUCAUGUACGCUCUAUCAAAGCUACGGGUAUCGUUUGGACCGCUCAGAGGUGUGCUGCGUUCGACACCAAUGAGGCAUGGCAGUGUUGUAUACCGUGGUGCUGCACAGCCUAGCAGAAGGCAAUACUGGAAAGGAGAGAUAGUUGCUGGUGCUAUGUGGUUCUGGAUUCUGUGGAGGUUUUACCACGAACCAAAAGAUGUUUUUGGUCACAAUCCUUGGCCUGAUGCCUCCAAGUGGACAGAUGAGGAACUAGGCAUACCACCUGAUGAUGAAGAUUAACACAGGACAAGAAGUUAAGACCUCAGCCUCCGUGUUUGUAAGCUCAUCCAGCAAUAAGCAUGUUGAUUCCGGCACCAGAAUGUAUGAUUAAGAAACCAUUUGAUAUCGACAUCCGUUACAUCUAGACAGAUACUGGUUGUGUUCAAGUGUAAAACUUGAUUAUAAUUUAACCCUAACUCAGCAUAGUUUACUAGGAACCGUACCCAUCCUGGCAAAUUCCAACACCCACAUGGGAAAUCGUACUUCUGGAGGUAUGCCAAACGCAAUGUAAAAGACCAUCAGUUUAGGGGUACUGUACCUAUCCUAACAGAUUCCAACAAAACAUGCCGUUGGGGUUUGAUUGGUUGAGUUUUGAAAGGGUUAAGGCACCAUAUAGGCAUCAGUAUGUUCCCUGUGUAAAAAAGUUCAUUUCAACAUAUCAGAUGUGUACAUUUGCAUAGAUUAAAAGCUUGGAGAAAGCCCCCUCCCCCAUCCUCCAAACACACUUAUGUAAACACACAAGUCCUUUUGAAACUUGCCAGUCCCAUGCAGAAACUCUGUUGCAUAUGAAAUAGACCGUUUGUAGGAUACGAUCAGACAGUAGUUCCGGAACAUUUUCUUUCCACUGGGGAAUAUUGGCAUGACAGACUCAAUGCAAUGUAAGGAAUCAAGUCAAGGAAUUUGGUAGCCUUGGUCAAGGCGUUUGGUCUGAUGAUCAGUGGUUGGCCGCUAACAUACACAUUAGCCACGUGCUAUGCACUCACAGGUACUGUACGAAGUAUGAACAGGGACCUCUCGUGGCUAGGCUACAAUAUGCAAAUCAGUUGGUGCUGAAUGAAUGCCUUUGAACAACCGUCGCGUUGGCCUAUGUUUUUCGGGCAGUUUUCGGGGGUUUUUCACAGGAUUUAUAUCAAUUUAUUUUUGGUCUGCAGUUCCAAACUUGUUGGAGAAUGUAGUCACACUGUCCAACUCUCUGUGCAUGUAAAAAUGUAAAAA